AGCUGCUCGCCUGCUUGCUUAUCCCUGCCCUAUCUCGCGACGUCCUUAUCCGAAGGAGACUAUAACCUCGCCUCUGCUCUUCCUCUUUUGCCACGACCGUCCACCAUGGCCACCGCACCAGGGCUGCCGUGAGCUUUCCUGUCCGGUUCACCUCCGCCCAAACCGGAUGCACCUUCGCCUUCUCCAGCUCGCGCUGAAUCUCCCGAGCCCUUCCUAUAAUCGUGACCACCAUUGGAGGACUGCUUGCUGCAGCGGCUGCCGGCAUGGCUACUGCUAUUACCGCGGGCACGCGUGGCCAGAUGGCCAUGGGCCAUAUUCAGUUAAACUAAGGGCACGCGAAGGUGCGGCCUGGCGUCUUCAAGCUCCAACACCUCUCCAAUGUUGCCGACGAGCACCCCAACGCCGAAACUGUGAUCUCCGACGAGCUCCUCUGUUUUCAGUUCGCGACCAGGGACUUCGCGCAACAAUUUGAAGUUCUCUAGGGGUCUAAUUGCACAGACUGUGACUCAGGUGAACAGUGCUAUAAGGACUUGUUUGUAGAUGUUUUGUUGAAUCUUUGAAAAUUCAUAUCUGGAGUUUGGUAACUCCAAUUUUGGUGAACCAAAUUUUGUUGUGCUCCUUGAAAUGUCUAGUUUUUAUUAAAAAUAUGAAAGUGGCCAUGUUUUGUAGUAAAAGAAUUAGUUAUGAUUUAUGUCUUUUAAUUAUGUUUAAAAAGGAGAACUUCAUGUCUCAUUAUGUGUAGCUCCUAUAGGUCUGAAAUUUUUAUUGUGUUCUCAUGAUGUUAUGGGAGUGUUGCAGUAAAAAUUUCAUGUUUAGUGGAUGAUAUAUGGUUAAGUUAUUAAUUUAUCUUGUUUAGUGCUUAUUAAGUAGUUUACAAUUAAACUAAAAAUAAAUAAAUGUAAAAUAUGGUUCCUGUACCUUUAUAUGAGGUCUUUAUAUCAUACAGAUACAUAAUUUAGCUAUGUGUUUGUAGAAAAUGUCGAGUUUCUUAUUUAUCUUGUUGUUACAUGCUUCCUUGUGAUGGAAAUUUAUCUUUUUCAUGGAAAUUGCUAUACUUAUCCAAAUGGCAUGAAAUUUAUACAGUAGACUUUGGAGAACAUAUAUGAGCAGCUGUAGUUUUCUCAGAAUUUAGUGUGUACUUUUGAUACAUGGUUAUUACUUUGUCUAUUUACCUAAAUAAAUUAAUAAAGGCAUGAAAGGAAUUUAUUUAGGGAUAACCAUGAUGUUUUCUAGUAUCUCUUUGAUGUAUUUCAACUGUUGGUAAGCUGGGUUUUGAUAUAUGGUUGAAUGAAGUUGUGUAUAUGCUGCUGUCCUGGUUAUGUGUGCAAAUAGAGUUGUUUGUUUUUAGCUAGCCUUUACUUAAAUAAUGAGUAGCUUAAUUUCUAAAUUAGAAUUUGAGUGCUUUUGGGAUUGUGUGAUGACCUGAGGUCAUUAUCUUUCAUGACCUUUGGCACUUAAUUAUUGUUUGAUGUUAAUACUUAAUUACUAUCAUUAAUAUUUAAUUAAGAAUUGAUUAAGAUAAAUAGAAAGCCUAAUCAUUUUAGGUUUUGAUUGAUCUUUGGGAUUGAUUGACAACCAGUGGUUACCUGGCAUGAUAUGCUCCCUGGUUAUGGAUUAUUUCAUAUAAAUGAUCUUUGUUGCCUCAUAUCUAUACAACCUUGCUUCAUGAAAAUGAUAAAAUUUGUUUAGUAGUAAUCUAUGUUUUGAUAACUAAGUUAGUUUGUUUCUAUACCAUGAAAGUAAGUUGUACUCGAGGUAGUUAUGUUUAUGUUUGUUGUUAUCAUCCAAGAACAUGUAACCUGUCUUUAUCAUGUCAUGAGUAUCUCAUUAAUCAUGCAUAUGCACUUCUACGUGUAGACUAUGCUCCGGAGGAAUCUGAUCCUCAGUGGGUUGCUUCUGAGUUUGUGGAUCCAGCUGGUUUUCCUGGUUUUUCUGAGUUAUCGGACUUCCCUUCCCACCAAGGCAAGCCCCGGAUAUUAAACCCUAUCCUUGUAUUUUCAUAAAGUUAUUUAUAUCACUUGAGUUAAUAUGAUGCAUUAGGUGAAUAGGAGUUGAGUGAAUCCUAUUUGCUGCAUUAUCUACCUUGAUGAUUUCAAUAUUAACCUUGAUACUUGUUUUAUGAAAAUACUUAGUAUGCUUAGCCCUGCUUAUUAGAUAGGUUUUCAAAUGAGAAAGUUUGAAGGGUUGUUGUGGAAUACUUUUAUGGUCAAUAAUGUUCAACUUGAGACCGGUCGGUAGACUUGCUUUAAGAAUGGAGUCUUAAAGUAGUGUCUCCAACUGUGUCGAUUAAGGACCGUUCCGUUGAUGGCCUGCUGUGAUUGAGACCUUUGAGUACAGCCCACAUGCGAUGGUAAGCCUUACCUAUAGCUAUUCCGAUACUUGAGAACGGCUAACCACGUACUGGGAGUGGAGAGAUGGCGAGAGUAGCGUGUACCCACCUUACGGAUCUGAGAUGACUGGGAAACAUCUAGAUUGGCUGUAGGAUGGUGGUGUACUGUACUCUCGGGUGACGCUGGACCCGUUCUUGUAUGGGAGGAUCUAUAGAAACAGGUUGACAUAUGCAAGAUUAAGUUCUACAUAUGUCGUGUGGUACUGAAUCCCCAGCUGGGUUUAAUCGAUUUGAAUCGCCAUGUUUCCUCGGAUAUGGAGCCUCAAUCCUCACACCAUCAUCGUAGUAAUAAAUGGAUCUUUGGUAUAAUAAAGAGGUGGUAUGCUUAUGAAAGUUUGAUAAUAAUUUUGGUUAGUCAUAAAUGAUGAUCUUGAGUUAAAACUUGAAAGUAGGUUUCACUCUUAGUAAUCUUUUAUGCAAAAGAAAUGUUUGGAUCUUGCUAAAGCCUUACUUUGAAUCCCUAUAGCCUGCAUACCUGAGUCUUCACCUCUUUUCUAGUCGGUUAAGUCUUGUGGCGUACUUUUGUACUCAGGGUUUUAUAACCCCUGUUGCAGGUGCUGACUUAGACUGCUAAUGGAGGUCAUGUCGGUGGGCGCGACAUGAUUUAUCCACCUCUUCUACCUUAGAAGCUUCACCUAGAAUGCUUCCGCUACUCUACACACCUUUUGGAAAUUUAGUUAAGUUUGUACUUCAUCAUAUGUUGUAAAUUAAGUUAUAAAUCUUUCGCACUAUGAUGUAAGUUAUUUUUGUAACAAAUGUUGUAAUGUUGUGGUAACUCCAUGUUGAUCCUGUAUGAGUUAAAAUGUGGAUGAUUCGGGGUCCUCCGAGGGCACCCGACAGACUUCUUGAGUCAUUUGGAACUCGUGCACGCCGAUCAGAAGUCUUUGAGACAAUGAUAGAUGCAUGUGGGCCAAUUAAUUCAGGAGGUUCUGCCACAAUCUUUGUGUCUUUCUUGCAUCACCAUCUGGGAAAGGGAGC
rnacentral:lncRNA from 1 species